GGGGGGAGCAAGCGUUGUUCGGAUUUACUGGGCGUAAAGGGCGCGUAGGCGGCCACCGCAAGUCGACUGUGAAAUCUCCGGGCUUAACCCGGAACGGUCAGCCGAUACUGCGGGGCUAGAGUGCAGAAGGGGCAACUGGAAUUCUCGGUGUAGCGGUGAAAUGCGUAGAUAUCGAGAGGAACACCUGCGGCGAAGGCGGGUUGCUGGGCUGACACUGACGCUGAUGCGCGAAAGCUAGGGGAGCGAACGGGAUUAGAUACCCCGGUAGUCCUAGCCUUAAACGAUGAAUGCUUGGUGUCUGGGGUUCUAUAGUCCCCGGGUGCCGUCGCUAACGCUUUAAGCAUUCCGCCUGGGGAGUACGGUCGCAAGACUG
rnacentral:rRNA from 1 species